GAUGAACGCUGGCGGCGUGCCUAAUACAUGCAAGUCGAGCGAACGGACGAGAAGCUUGCUUCUCUGAUGUUAGCGGCGGACGGGUGAGUAACACGUGGAUAACCUACCUAUAAGACUGGUAUAACUUCGGGAAACCGGAGCUAAUACCGGAUGAUAUUUUGAACCGCAUGGUUCAAAAGUGAAAGACGGUCUUGCUGUCACUUAUAGAUGGAUCCGCGCUGCAUUAGCUAGUUGGUAAGGUAACGGCUUACCAAGGCAACGAUGCAUAGCCGACCUGAGAGGGUGAUCGGCCACACUGGAACUGAGACACGGUCCAGACUCCUACGGGAGGCAGCAGUAGGGAAUCUUCCGCAAUGGGCGAAAGCCUGACGGAGCAACGCCGCGUGAGUGAUGAAGGUCUUCGGAUCGUAAAACUCUGUUAUUAGGGAAGAACAUAUGUGUAAGUAACUGUGCACAUCUUGACGGUACCUAAUCAGAAAGCAACGGCUAACUACGUG
rnacentral:rRNA from 1 species